ensembl:lncRNA
UCUCGAAGGAAUAGGACUUUUCUGAUUUUGGUGGACAGGAGAUGGAGAUGUGCUGAUGCCACCUUCUGCGCCUAGAGGAAGAACUGAAGCAAGUGUGGCGGUUCAGUAGUCUUAUCAGGGAAAAGACUUCCUCCACCUACAACAGCUUAAGGUAGAAGGAGGAGAAAGGAAGAGACAGCAUGAAAGAAACAGAUUUGUGUGCAGAUAAACAUUCAAUUAAAUGGAUACAUAUCCACAGUGUGGCAGCAUAUGUAAAUGUAUAUGACAUAUCAGGCAAUAUAGGAGAAGAUGAUUUCAAAAGACCUCCGCAUGAAGUUUAUUACUCGUGGGAUAACAACACAGCUUGGUGGACAGAGGCAGAAGGGAUUUCGGUAUUACCCUAGACGAGUCCUUUUUGAAAGUAAC